GCGGACUGCUCAGUAACACGUCGAUAAUCUGCCCUUAGGUCAGGGAUAACCUCGGGAAACUGAGGAUAAUACCUGAUAGUGGAUGAUAUCUGGAAUGAUGCAUCCAAGAAAUUCGGGCCUAAGGAUGAGCCGGCGGCGGAUUAGGUAGUUGGCGGGGUAACAGCCCACCAAGCCGAUGAUCCGUAAGGGCUUUUAGCGAAGGGGCCUGAGAAGGAAUCUGAGACACUAUUCCUAGCCCUACGGGGUGCAGCAGUUAGGGAACUUCUCCAAUGCGCGCAAGCGUGAGAGAGUAAGCCAGAGUGUUUUUCAUAAAUUUUGAAAAACUUUUGCUUGUCGUAAAAAUACAGGCGAAUAAGGACUGGGCAAGAUCGGUGCCAGCCGCCGCGGUAAUCCCGACGGUCCAAGUCGCAGCCACAUUUAUUGGGUCUAAGACAUUCGUAGCUUGUUCUGUGAGUUCCUCGUGAAAUCUUAACUCUUAAGGUUAAGGCGUGCGAGGAAUACUGCAGAACUUGAGACCGGUAGAAGCAAGAAGUAUGGCCGAGGUAGUGAUAAAAUACGUUAAUCUUGGCCAGACUAACAACAGCGAAGACAUCUUGCUAGCACGGAUCUGACAGUGAGGAAUGUAGGCUAGGGGCGCAAAAGGGAUUAGAUACCCCUGUAGUCCUAGCAGUAAACACUGCUCACUAAACAUUAGUACCUCCUCGAGAGGUAUUAGUGCUGUAGCGAAGGCGAAGAGUGAGCUACCUGGGAAGUAUAGUCGCAAGACCGAAACUUAAAGGAAUUGGCGGGGGGGUACCACAACGGGUGACGCGUGCGGUUUAAUUAGACUCUACACCGUGAAUCUUACCAGGAUCGAUAGCAGAAUGAAGGACAGUCUAAAGGGCUUUCCUGACACGCUAAGAGGGGUAGCAUGGCCGACUUCAGCCUGUGUCGUGAGAUGACCUGUUAAAUCAGGUAACAGGCGAGACCCGCGUGCAUAAUUACUACGAAAGAGCACAUUAUGCAGACUGCAUAGGUAACUAUGAGGAAGGUGCGGGCUACGUUAGGUGUGUACAGCCUGAAUACCCUGGGCUACACGCGCGCGGCAAUGCUUGAUUCAAUGAGACGCAACUCCGAGAGGAGAAGCAAAUCCCAUAAUGUCAAGCCCAGUUCAGAUUGAAGUUUGUAACUCAACUUCAUGACGCCGGAAUCCGUAGUAAUCGUUCAUUAUCAGUGAACGGUGAAUAAGUCCCUGCUCCUUGCACACACCGCCCAUCAAACUAACCGAGUUAUGCCUUGGUGAAAUCUUUCGAGAGUGAACCUCAGUAUGACAAGGUAAGUUAAGUUGACACAAG
rnacentral:rRNA from 1 species